ACUGUUUCUAAGAAAUUUUUUGUUAGUUUUAGCCUCUUUUGAGAGAAAAUGGGUAUAAGUAUCGUCUAAACACUCUUAAUCUAUCUCUAACUCUUAUAAUUAGUC
rnacentral:sRNA from 1 species